CUCCUAGGCACCCUCUUUCCACAGGUGAUGAGUUACAGGGCCCAGGGAAUGUGUCUGCACUUGUGACUCAUCACUGGUGGAAGCCCAUAC
ensembl:miRNA